rnacentral:lncRNA from 1 species
AAUCAAAACACUUUCUAACUAAUCUAAGACUUCAAAAUAAAGGGGGAUUUGUUUUGGACGACAAUUGAAAACAAAACAGAAACUUUAAACUAAACAGAACGUUUUUGAAUAAAAGGAUGGAUAAAAGGCUAGUUAGGAGGUUCUUCUCCACACAUGUCACACUUGUAAACAAAACGAUUUUCAGUUGUUCUUCCAAUAAAUUAUGAAUACUCAACGCCCCAAAUUAACCGUGAAUUGCACUAAUUAACCCUCAGUUUUUCCACGAGUUAUUGAGUUGGAUGAUUGCAUACGACAACCCAAAGCAUUCCCUACAAGUUCCCUACAUGAAUUGCAUAAUAGAGAUACAAGCAAGAAUCAUUAAGUUCUAUGAAAAACAUAAGCAUUGACGAAGCAUUCGUUACUAUGAAUUGCAUGAAACUUAUGCCAAGAAUUCAUUCAACGCGAUCGUUUUCAAGCGACCUU